AGACACCAAUACAGCACCAGAGAUGGAUAUCAAGCUCCAAUGUUACCUGAAUAUAUUCUCAGGCCUUGUCCCACAAUGCAACCAAAGUGAAAUAAAGCUGAAUUGGCUGAAUGAGGCCAAUACAGUGCUACAGGGAGAGAGAUUUCAAACCGAACGUUCAUCUGCUUGCCUCUCUACGCUGACCAUCCGAGGUGUCAGGAAGACAGACCAUCACAGGAAGUGGCGGUGUCAACUGAUUGAAGGAGAGGUUGUGAAGACGUCCCUCAGCUAUACCACAGAAAUUACAGGUACGUUUGGAACUAUNNNNNNNNNNAACAACACCCUCAUCUCCAAACUCUUCCUCCCUGACCGCCAGGGCACAGAGAAGAUAGCCUGCGCCGUGCUCAGAGAGGGGGUUGAAAUGGCUGUAAAGGAGUGGACCAUCCAGAGAGGUCGUGUUCUACCUGCAGUGGGAUGGUCAGUCCUUCUGCUACUGCUGCUCUGUGCUGUUGGAGGGGGCGUGUAUUGGAAGAGGCAGGGCAAGGGAAGUGCUGCUCGUACGUAUUUGUUCACUGGUUAGAUUGUGUGUGUUUUACAAAACUGCAAUUUGGAUGUUGCAUCCUUGAUAAAACCUACAGUAAUGAACCGCAGUGAAAAAGAAAGCCAUAUCAUCGGAAUUAAAUUCAUGUGAAAUAAAGCUGACAUUUGUCCCUCUUUGCCUAUAGAAGGAGAAGAACAGCAGACAACUGUUGCAAUGGUAAGGAUUCAAUAAAACACAACUAUGUAAUUCACUAACAAGUGAAGCCCAAUUGAGUAUGCCUACAACGUCACAUCAAAUUUGACUAAAUGUCUUCUAAUCCUUUCACCAUGUUGGUGAACUAAAUUCAACUGGUUUUACACAUUCCUUCUUUUCUUCGCAGACUCAUCUCUAUGAGGAGAUUCAAGGUCGACCAAUUCAACCUUCCGGAGUAACCAACAACAGUUUCUAUGAUCUUCUGCAGGCUGGGAACUGAGUGUAAUGUCAUGUCCUCUAUCUUUAGGCUAUUAGUUGAGUUUUAAAUCUAAUUUGACUACUUUGUACUUGGCAUUGUUUUGUGGUUUGGAUUUCCCUUGAUAUUUUGGAACAUUAUAAGUGUCACCAUGACAUCAAGUCUAUGCAGGUUGUUUUUUAUGGUGGAAAUAAAUUCAUAAAAAGAAAAUAACCUCUAUAGAAUAUCACCAGUUACCACAGUUAAAAACCCCGACAUAAGUUGGUUACAGGAACACAUUCAGUAUGACUCCUCAGUGUGGGGGGUUGAUGGCUAAGUCAUCCCACCUCCUGUCUUGAACAUCACUCUGCUGACUUUCACAUCCCACAUGAAACCUGGUAGCUUCUCUUCAGCAGUGUAAAACUCUGUAGAUGUAUGGGACUGAGACAAGACACAUCCCACAUGAAACCUGGUAGCUUCUCUUCAGCAGUGUAAAACUCUGUAGAUGUAUGGGACUGAGACAAGGCACAUAACACAUGAGAGUGAACAGAUAAGUGUGUUUAUUUAAUACAGGAUGGCAGUGUGUGAGCAUUAGCAAUACAAGUAAAAACCCCAGAACAGCAUGUCUCUCUGUCUGGAACAGCUCCCAACUACACAUCAUUUGGUGUAGAAAAGCGUCAGCAAAAGUUGGUCCACCAUGGGGUCACAAAUAAAGGAAUAAGUCCAAUCAAAUCAAGCUAAAUACAAUUGGUCACCUCAUCCAUUUGAUGAUUUCACAACUAAGAUUGUUAUUGUGUAAUACUAUGUAGGCUAUACCAGGGGUUGAAAGAUAAGAUUGUUAUUGUGUAAUACUAUGUAGGCUAUACCAGGGGUUGAAAGAUAAGAGUGUUAUUGUGUAAUACUAUGUAGGCUAUACCAGGGGUUGAAAGAUAAGAUUGUUAUUGUGUAAUACUAUGUAGGCUUUCCAGGGGUUGAAAGAUAAGAGUGUUAUUGUGUAAUACUAUGUAGGCUAUACCAGGGGUUGAAAGAUAAGAGUGUUAUUGUGUAAUACUAUGUAGGCUAUACCAGGGGUUGAAAGAUAAGAGUGUUAUUGUGUAAUACUAUGUAGGCUAUACCAGGGGUUGAAAGAUAAGAGUGUUAUUGUGUAAUACUAUGUAGGCUUUCCAGGGGUUGAAAGAUAAGAGUGUUAUUGUGUAAUACUAUGUAGGCUAUACCAGGGGUUGAAAGAUAAGAGUGUUAUUGUGUAAUACUAUGUAGGCUAUACCAGGGGUUGAAAGAUAAGNNNNNNNNNNAGUGUGAAGUUCCUUAUCAAGUUAGUCUCUCAUCUCAGAGUCCAAUCUCAGUUCUCCAAGGCCUAGUUUCUAUAUGGGUCAUGAAUACACAUUUGCGGGGAAACAU
rnacentral:lncRNA from 13 species